CUACGGGAGGCACCAGUGGGGAAUAUUGGACAAUGGGGGAAACCCUGAUCCAGCAAUGCCGCGUGUGUGAAGAAGGCCUGCGGGUUGUAAAGCACUUUCGGUUGGGAGGACUGCUUCUAGCACUAAUAUUGUUGGAAGUUGACGUUACCUUCAGAAGGAGCACCGGCUAACUCCGUGCCAGCAGCCGCGGUAAUACGGGGGGUGCAAGCGUUAAUCGGAAUUACUGGGCGUAAAGCGCGCGUAGGCGGCUAGAUCAGUCGGGUGUGAAAGCCCCGGGCUUAACCUGGGAACUGCAUCCGAUACUGUCUAGCUUGAGUACAGGAGAGGAGAGUGGAAUUCCACAUGUAGCGGUGAAAUGCGUAGAUAUGUGGAGGAACACCAAUGGCGAAGGCAGCUCUCUGGCCUGAUACUGACGCUGAGGUGCGAAAGCGUGGGGAGCAAACAGGAUUAGAUACCCUCGUAGUC
rnacentral:rRNA from 1 species